rnacentral:tRNA from 1 species
AAGAAAAAUAAGCUAAUUUAAGCUAUUGGACUCAUAAUUCAAAUAUAGAUUUAAUCUUUUUUCU